rnacentral:rRNA from 1 species
AUACGUAGGGUGCGAGCGUUGUCCGGAAUUACUGGGCGUAAAGAGCUCGUAGGUGGUUUGUCGCGUCGUCUGUGAAAUUCCGGGGCUUAACUCCGGGCGUGCAGGCGAUACGGGCAUAACUUGAGUACUGUAGGGGAGACUGGAAUUCCUGGUGUAGCGGUGAAAUGCGCAGAUAUCAGGAGGAACACCGGUGGCGAAGGCGGGUCUCUGGGCAGUAACUGACGCUGAGGAGCGAAAGCAUGGGGAGCGGACAGGAUUAGAUACCCUGGUAUUCCAUGCCGUAACCGGUGGGCGCUAGGUGUAGGGGUCUUCCACGACUUCUGUGCCGUAGCUAACGCAUUAAGCGCCCCGCCUGGGGAGUACGGCCGCAAGGCUAAAACUCAAAUGAAUUGACGGGG